CAGAUUUCAGAACAUCUGACCAGUCACUACCCAAAACUUCAAAAUCUAACAGGGGGAUGGCUGCUUUAUAAACAUUAAGAGGUUCUGGACGGAGAAAACUUUCACUUAUACCUCCAGAGACUGAGGGUUACCAUGGAAACCUUUUGAAAACUGUGACAGUAGGAGGAAAAAACAUGAUCUACAUAUUUCCACUUCAGGAGAAAACUGAUAUGUCUCCUCUUCCUCUGGAUGCUCUAGAACUUCAAAGCAUGCCUAAAGCAUCAUGGGAAGUUUGCAGUGUUACCUUGCAGUUUAUUCUCAUCAUGAAAGCAGUGCUAAUGAAGGUACUCCAGUGGCGUCAACAUCAAGUACAAAUGAUGCCAGUUUCCCUGGAACACAUCUGGUAAUGCAGGACUAUGUGUUAACUUUGGAAACAUUUCUUUUUGUAUGACCUGUACCUCUUUUAAUAUAGUGGGCAGGAAACAUACUGUAUGUUCAAAAAUAAUAAGUACUUUUUUGUCCUUUUUAAUUCAUAACCCGUACUAAAUAUUACAGCAGUUUAGUGUCAUACCAGUUGUUGUUUUAAACUUUAAUUUAAUAUUAAGCUCGGUCACCAACAACUUACACAAUACAGCAUCUCACCUAAAAACACUUAUUUGAAUAAAUCUGUCCAUAAAGCUGCUGAACUGAACAACUUUCAUUUUACAAACUAAGAAACAACUUCUCCAUUUCAUUUUUUAGUUUUUAAUUUGAGGCAGCUUGUCCAGUAUGUGAAGAGGAAUAUCUGCUGGAUAUUUUACAGAUCCAUGCCAGCUGUUGUGGAGACAGUCUUGAGGAGACCUCACCCAGACCAGAACAGGUUUCCAAAUCACUUGGAGG